rnacentral:rRNA from 1 species
GACGAACGCUGGCGGCGUGCUUAACACAUGCAAGUCGAACGGAAAGGCCCUGCUUUUGUGGGGUGCUCGAGUGGCGAACGGGUGAGUAACACGUGAGUAACCUGCCCUUGACUUUGGGAUAACUUCAGGAAACUGGGGCUAAUACCGGAUAGGAGCUCCUGCUGCAUGGUGGGGGUUGGAAAGUUUCGGCGGUUGGGGAUGGACUCGCGGCUUAUCAGCUUGUUGGUGGGGUAGUGGCUUACCAAGGCUUUGACGGGUAGCCGGCCUGAGAGGGUGACCGGGGACAUGGGGACUGAGAGACGGAGCAGACUCCUACGGGAGGCAGCAGGGGGGAGUAUUGCACAAUGGGCGGAAGCCUGAUGCAGCAACGCCGGGUGCGGGAUGACGGCCUUCGGGUUGUAAACCGCUUUCGCCUGUGACGAAGCGUGAGUGACGGUAAUGGGUAAAGAAGCACCGGCUAACUACGUG